UCGAGAAUUUUUCACAAUGGGGGAAACCCUGAUGGAGCGACGCCGCGUGGAGGAUGAAGGUCUUCGGGUUGUAAACUCCUGUCAUGCGGGAACAAGCAAGUGAUAGUACCGCAAGAGGAAGAGACGGCUAACUCUGUGCCAGCAGCCGCGGUAAUACAGAGGUCUCAAGCGUUGUUCGGAUUCAUUGGGCGUAAAGGGUGCGUAGGUGGUGGCGCAAGUCUGGUGUGAAAUCUCGGAGCUUAACUCCGAAAUUGCACCGGAUACUGCGUGACUCGAGGACUGUAGAGGAGAUCGGAAUUCACGGUGUAGCAGUGAAAUGCGUAGAUAUCGUGAGGAAGACCAGUUGCGAAGGCGGAUCUCUGGGCAGUUCCUGACACUGAGGCACGAAGGCCAGGGGAGCGAAACGGGAUUAGAUACCCCGGUAGUCCUGGCAGUAAACGGUGCACGUUGGUGUGGGCGAGUUCAG
rnacentral:rRNA from 1 species